rnacentral:rRNA from 1 species
CACUCCUGCGGGAGGCAGCAGUGGGGAAUCUUGCGCAAUGGGCGAAAGCCUGACGCAGCCAUGCCGCGUGAAUGAUGAAGGUCUUAGGAUUGUAAAAUUCUUUCACCGGGGACGAUAAUGACGGUACCCGGAGAAGAAGCCCCGGCUAACUUCGUGCCAGCAGCCGCGGUAAUACGAAGGGGGCUAGCGUUGCUCGGAAUUACUGGGCGUAAAGGGAGCGUAGGCGGACAUUUAUGUCAGGGGUGAAAUCCCGGGGCUCAACCUCGGAAUUGCCUUUGAUACUGGGUGUCUUGAGUAUGAGAGAGGUGUGUGGAACUCCGAGUGUAGAGGUGAAAUUCGUAGAUAUUCGGAAGAACACCAGUGGCGAAGGCGACACACUGGCUCAUUACUGACGCUGAGGCUCGAAAGCGUGGGGAGCAAACAGGAUUAGAAACCCUUGUAGUCCCAUGAU